ensembl:snRNA U6 U6 spliceosomal RNA
CUCUGCUUUGGCAGCAUAUAUAUAAAAUUCGAAUGAUACAGAGAAGAUUAGCAUAGCCCAUUGCAAGGAUGACACACAAAUUCAUAAAGUAUUCCUUUA